rnacentral:lncRNA from 1 species
AAUAUCAGAUUGAUCUAUUUCUAUACGAGUCUCGCCUGCUACGAAAUGAAUAUGAACCUGAGGAAUAUGAAGCAUUGAUCUGGUGAACCAUAGGACAAGACUUGAGCCUCCCUACUAUUAUUAAUUAGAGGGUCACUAGUAACUCCCUUAAUAAUAGGCUCAAGAACGCCUGUAUAUUAUUAUUAGUUCCAGCACCUACCAUAGAUUUGGGAAUCCUUGACCCUCGGGGGCACCUGCCAGCAUGCACCAGCUAUUACGUAUAUAAGACUGGAUCGACAUUGAUCUGCUUCUCAUCAUUUCUCUGAUUGAAAGAUUGGUAGAGGUUACAGGUGCCAGUGAAUCGUGGCAUGGCAUGCGCAUCAAUGUCAGAUGAUUAGCCCAAUGCCCAGAAUCGUGAGGGAACUACUAGGCUUUUUAGGGUAGGACCACCGACUAUUGUAAGUGAUUCUGAAUACCGGCUACUGGUUUAUGAAGUGGGUAUGGGUAGGACCGGAAAGGUGCUAGUGACGAAGGUCCCAUUCCGGAUGUUGAGAGCCCCG